rnacentral:rRNA from 1 species
CAUGGCUCAGAGUGAACGCUGGCGGCAGGCCUAACACAUGCAAGUCGAACGGCAGCAGGUCCUACCUUGCUCCUUGGGUGGCGAGUGGGGGACGGGUGGCGAAUGCAUCUGACUCUGCCUAUUUGUGGGGGAUAGGAAACGGAAACUUACACUAAUACCGACUACCUCCUACGGGAGAAGGUGCGGGAUGGCUCGACCUCACGCAUAUACAUGAGCCGAUGCCGGAUUAUGUAGUUGGAGGGGUACACGCCCGCCACGGUCACUAUCCGGACUUGGACGAAGAUGAUGAUCACUCACACUGAAACUGAGACACGACUCCUACUGCUACGGGAGGUGGCGAAGAUUAAUAUAUGGCAAUGGGCGUGAUCCUGAUCCAGCCAUGGCGUGAGAGAGGACAUCGCCUUCGGGUUGUAAAGUUCUUUUGACGAAAAAGAAAAGCUCUCGGUUAAUACCCGAGGGUCGUGCCGGUACAGUAAGAAUCAGCUACGUCUAAGUCCGUGGCAGCAGUCGUACUAAUGCUGAAGGUGCUACUUGUUACUUAGUGUUACUGAACGUAGAGCGUGCGUAUGGGGUAUGCUGAUUCUAAUGUGCAGGCCUUGAGGCUGAACAUGGCAACUGAUACUGGAAACUGUAUAACUAGAGUUGAGGUGUACGGGAUGUUGCCAGUUCCUCGCAGUAACAUGGCAAAUGAUAUAGAUAUCGAACAUUGCAAACGUCUGAUGGCGGAAGCCUAGNCCCUGGCACCAGACACUGACGCCUGCAAGCAACGUAGAGGCAUUGAAGAAGCGAAUUAAGGAAUUCACNUGACUACNGGCUAGUCCCAUCGACCCAUUAGAGCUANGUGCAAAGCUGGNUUGGUUCAGCCGUUAGGCAACUU